GCCUGCAUGGCAUAGUGGUUUGAGUGUUGGACUGCAACUCUGGAGAUCCUGGGUUCGAUUCACUGCUCAUCCA